GUAACUGCCUCUGCAAAGAAAGGUAAGCCAGCUGCAGCUGCAAGCUCUUCUGAUUUAUCUGAGGAAUCCUCUGACGAGGAUGAUGUUCCAAAAACUAAGGCGGUCCCUGCUGCAGCAAAGAAUAUAACUUCUUCUAACAAGAAAAUUCAGCCAAGUGGAAGUUCUGAUUCUGAUUCUGAUAGCAGCUCUGAUGAGGACGAUAAAAAGAAAAUAUCUGCAACUACAAAGCUGCCUGCUUCAUCAGACGAUGAUUCAAGUGAAGACUCUGAUGAAGACGAUGAUGUCAAGCCCUCUGCAACUGCUGUGUCAAAGA